rnacentral:rRNA from 1 species
UACGUAGGGGGCAAGCGUUGUCCGGAAUCAUUGGGCGUAAAGAGCGCGUAGGCGGCCCAGUAAGUCCGCUCUGAAAGUCAGGGCUCAACCCCUGAAUGCGGGUGGAUACUGCUGGGCUAGAGUCCGGAAGAGGCGAGUGGAAUCCUGGUGUAGCGGUGAAAUGCGGCAGAGUAGUCAAGGAGGAACACCGAUGGCGAAGGCAGCUCGCUGGGACGGUAGCUGACGCUGAGGCGCGAAGCGUGGGAG